rnacentral:lncRNA from 1 species
UUGAUGUGAUUCCUAGUUUGCCGAAGUGCAUCACAAUUUAUUGAGAUAACGAGGCUGCUAUUGCGAAUAGCAAGGAUUCAAGAUGUCAUCAAUCCAUGAAAACACAUUGAUGGCAAGUAUCAUUACAUUCGGUCAGUGGUCAAGCAUGGUGAUGUUGCAUUACUACAUAUUGCGGGAGUGGAUAAUCUUGCUGAUCCCUUCACGAAGAGUUCUUCCUGGUGCGGUGUUCAACAAGCAUGUUGAAGACCUUGGAGUUCGUGACCUCCGAUACUAAACUAAACUUUAGUAUAAGUGGGAGAAUUUGUAAUAGAGAUUUACAAGCGAGUGGAUAGCUAGAGGAUAUUAUCAGUUUAUUAGUCACGUUGUAUACUAAAAGUUUGCUUUAGUAUAAGUGGGAGAAUUGAAGGGUUAUAUACUUAAAAGCAACACUUUUAUGCUUGUAUAUAUUGAUACCUUAUUCUACUACUAUUUCCUUAUCUGAAUUAUUGUUAUUGCAUAAUCCUAUUAUAGUCCAAUUUAUCUCAUACUAUAGAUUAUAUGGUGUGUUGUAGAUCACAGA